rnacentral:lncRNA from 1 species
UCGGUGACACUGUUAUUGUUUAUAGUUUAUCUCAAGUCAUGUUUAUUUGUUGAUAUAUUUUUAAAUAUGGAAAUUUAGGCUUAGAAAAUAAUAUUCUGACAGACCACAAAUUCCUCACUAUCGAUUACCAACCUGUCGGCGAACCUUUUGUCACUGUCACUACGAUUAUUGCUGUCUUACUAACUACUUUCCGGACAAAAAAAAAAAAAUUAAUAAUCCUUCUUUUUGUGGUGUGAUAUAUCCACCCGGCAUAAGAGCCCUUAUGCACCGCAGAAACAUCAACUUGAUGGACUUAAAAGAAUUACUGCAUUCUGAUUAUACUUGUUCCAUUAGCCGCUACAAUAUGAUUGUUUUCGUAAUUUAACAAACAGUAAUUUUGUUUAUAUAUUAAAACCUGCCUAAAUUAAGGUUCAAUGU